AGUGAAAGGUUUAAUGAAUGUAUUUGUAUCUUGAUAAUGAAGAUUGUAGUAUAGCCAAUACUGUUAAUUUAAGUUUUUAUAUUUUUAACUCCACUAAUGUGAUUUUUUUUAUAGAAUUAGAAAACCCAAAAUCGUUAUCUCUAGAAUAUUUUUUCAAUUAUUUUAUGUGAAUUUUUUUUCUUGUAUAGUAUCUUAUACUAUGAUGAACACGUUAUUUUUUUAUUUACUGUUUUAUGGCGUUAUGAUUGUUAUUGUUAGAUACAACCGUCUUACCAUGAUCUUUUAUGUAAUAAGUUUGGCAAUAAUAAUAAAAAAGAGGUACAGGUGCACUACCACCUCACAGCAUCACUAACUCAACAGUCCAGUACAGUUUCUCUCAGCGACUCUGCAAUAUCUGCACAAACGAAACGUCGAACAGCUGCUCAAAGAUCUCACCUUUGGAGAAGAUUGUUGAUUUUAUACUCUAAAAAUACGGUGAACCCCACAUCUUACUAUCAUCUCAACACAGCUGAGACAGUUCUGCUGCUGCGCUGUGCUUCACAAUCUCACUCUUCUCAACGGGGAUGUCGUUGAGCAACAGGAUGAGGAAGACCUUGAUGACGGCUCUCUGAACCACACUACCUUGAAGCGAGAGCAGAAGAACACAUGCAGGACAAUCUGACUGCUGCUGUGUCUGCUCCAAACAAUCGUGUGCUAAUCUCCAUGAGCACCACUACCUGUAAAACAUUUACACAGAGUUUACAAGUACAUGCAUUGAUUUAUUACUUUUGUAGUGUGCUAAACCACUGAACUGGUUCAAAACUGUGCUUGAGCACGGCUCUUUUCUCCAGCUUGAUCAGAGGAUUGUAGGCCUCUGUAAUAAGAGCACUGUCAAUCACUUCAGAUGAAAGCUCCAUCACAUUUUUUGAUGAUGCUUUUGAAGCUUCUGAAAGUCAGCCUUCGUCUUAUAAACAGAAACCAGCAGAACAAACUUUACCAAAAUCAAAUCCUCAGUGUCUUUU
ensembl:lncRNA